CUAACAAGCUGUCAAGUGCAGCCGGAGGACAGCUCUCAGGGUGCCUGGGCCUGCCUGGGCUAUGCUCUGUGUGGGCUCCCCUCAGUUCUGGGUUUGGCUGUUGUCAGCUGACUUUCUCUGAACAUUUGGACUAGGCCAGCACUCUCCUUCAGAAUGAAGGCAAUUUCAGAAAUGCUGGUUCCUGCUGCCUAGGGUCACUAGGGACCUUGGGACAGGCCCUAGGGGUCUGAUGCCACGUACCCUGGAUGGGCAGAUCACCAUGGAGAAGACCCCCAGCUACUUUGUGACUCAGGAGGCUCCCCGCCGAAUCCAUGAUAUGUCCCCAGACACCAAGCUGAUUGUGGUGGUGCGGAACCCUGUGACCCGGGCCAUCUCUGAUUAUGCACAGACACUCUCCAAGACCCCA
rnacentral:lncRNA from 1 species